AUUCUAUCGGCUUCCAGAGAGUACCCUGCAGCUCGCAAAAGUCAGCAAACUGUUGAUAGCAAUCGAAAAAGGAAGACUGCCUUACCUGCAGGGGAAAGGGCUGGAUGACAUUGAGGUCAAUCCUGAAGAUGAAGUAGAAAUGAGUGAUGAUGAUUCCAGCGAAGAAACCAUUGCUGACCUACAUCAAUGCAAAGGCUCAACAACAGAGACUUCUAGGGACCAGACACUUCUGAGGCAAACACCAGAGUCAACCACCCUGGACAACAUGGAGGGCACUUCUGAGUCAACCACCCUGGACAACAUGGAGGGCACUUCUGAGUCAACCACCCUGGACAACAUGGAGGGCACUCCUGAGUCAACCACCUUGGAUAACGUACACAUGAGCAACACACAACCAAGACAUGGUAAAAUAGUCACAUCCCAAGCAUCCUCAAAGUGCUCCAAAGGAAAGCAAGGUUAGUAAGCAUUUUGUAUUCACAUGU